rnacentral:rRNA from 1 species
UGUACUUUGGAUGCCUGCUUCUAACUGUCUCAUGGACAAUGGAUGGUGCUCUGGUCCCCUGCCUUCUAACGUUGGUGGGAGGCUGGACCCACGGAUGAAAACCUUGACCUCAAAUCGGGUGAGACUACCCGCUGAACUUAAGCAUAUCAAUAA